UACGUAGGGUGCGAGCGUUAAUCGGAAUUACUGGGCGUAAAGCGUGCGCAGGCGGUUUUGUAAGCCAGGUGUGAAAUCCCCGGGCUCAACCUGGGAAUGGCAUUUGGGACUGCAAGGCUGGAGUGCGGCAGAGGGGGAUGGAAUUCCGCGUGUAGCAGUGAAAUGCGUAGAUAUGCGGAGGAACACCGAUGGCGAAGGCAAUCCCCUGGGCCUGCACUGACGCUCAUGCACGAAAGCGUGGGGAGCAAACAGG
rnacentral:rRNA from 1 species